rnacentral:rRNA from 1 species
GUAACACGUAAAGAACCUGCCCUCAGGUCUGGGAUAACCACGAGAAAUCGGGGCUAAUACCGGAUGGGUCAUCGGACCGCAUGGUCCGAGGAUGAAAGGCGCUUCGGCGUCGCCUGGGGAUGGCUUUGCGGUGCAUUAGCUAGUUGGUGGGGUAAUGGCCCACCAAGGCGACGAUGCAUAGCCGACCUGAGAGGGUGAUCGGCCACACUGGGACCGAGACACGGCCCAGACUCCUACGGGAGGCAGCAGUAGGGAAUCUUCCACAAUGGACGAAAGUCUGAUGGAGCAACGCCGCGUGAACGAUGAAGGCCUUCGGGUCGUAAAGUUCUGUUGUAAGGGAAGAACAAGUGCCGCAGGCAAUGGCGGCACCUUGACGGUACCUUGCGAGAAAGCCACGGCUAACUACGUGCCAGCAGCCGCGGUAAUACGUAGGUGGCAAGCGUUGUCCGGAAUUAUUGGGCGUAAAGCGCGCGCAGGCGGCCUCUUAAGUCUGAUGUGAAAGCCCCCGGCUCAACCGGGGAGGGCCAUUGGAAACUGGGAGGCUUGAGUAUAGGAGAGAAGAGUGGAAUUCCACGUGUAGCGGUGAAAUGCGUAGAGAUGUGGAGGAACACCAGUGGCGAAGGCAACUCUUUGGCCUAUAACUGACGCUGAGGCG